rnacentral:misc_RNA from 1 species
AUCUGGUGGUAACAAUUUAAACGUCUGACAUCAACAAACAAUCAUUUCUGUCAAAUUUGAAGUAGAGGAAGAGAAGUGACCUACAUCUGUUGUUUAGAAAGUUCCUUAACACAUUCAAGAAAAGACAUGGAAAAGUCCAGGAAUUUUUUAUGGCAAUAUCUGUCAAUGCACCAGAAGACAUCUGUAUUAAGAUAAGAAAGGGGGAUUUAAGAUAAGUGGGUGAGUACUGUGUCAGCCACCAUGAGUGAUUUGGAAAUCAGUGGCUCAGAUUCGGAGCCUGUUUCCGAUGUCAACCCAGAGGAGAUGGCCAGAUUGAUGGCUGAUAUAGAUGAACUGGACAAUGACCUCUUUAAGAGCACCUCGAAGUCUUCAGGAAAAUCAGGUAGUGGAAGUACUAUAGCAAAAUCCCAAGAUACAAAAGAUCCUAAAAGGCGUGUGACCUUUAAUGAAAAACCUGGGACACCAGCUAAAGCUUCAGAAGAUGAUGAUGAUGAUGAUGAUGACUGGGAUGCUGAUGACCUCUUGCAUUCAGACGACGAAGUGAAACCCCGUGGAAAAUUGGCCAAAAAGCCAGAGACAUCAGAUGCAUCUUCAGUUUCACCUGCCAAAGCUGCUGCUUCUGAUAAAGAUAACAAAGAAGACUCUGGUAAGAAGACUAUGGCAAAAAGUAAAUUGAUGGCUGACUUAUUCAGUGAUAAUUCUCAAGAUCUACCUAAAGAAAGAGAAACAAAAUCCCCAACUUCAAGUGAGUCCAAGAAGGAUAAAAGUAAACUCAUGGCUGAUUUAUUUGGAGGGGGAGACGACUCAAGUAAUCCUGGCAAUUCAAGAGAAAAUAAAGACUCGGGUGAGACAGCUACAAAGCGAGGGACAGCUAGAAAGGCAAAAGAGAACAUCACCUUUGAUGAUGAUGAUGACUUAUUUGGUGGUUUGGAAGAAUCAAGAAAGAAACCGGUGUCUGACUCUCCCAAGGGUGGAAGUUUUUUAGACAGCCUAUUAACAAAAAGUAAUGCCUCUGAACAGUCAAAAGUAAAAAGAGAAACAAACACAGAAUUUAAUUUAGAUGAGAGGUAUAAAAAUAUAGGCAAAGAGACUAAGGGAAAGAGCACAAAAGAUUUUGGAGGAUACAUGCCAUCAUCUAGCAAGCCUAACAGUCCUAGUAGAGGAACCCCAAAGAAAACCACAUCUGAUGAUACUUUUGAUCUCUUUGGUGACUUUGAACCAAGAAAAAGGAAUCCGAGGUCAAGGUCAGCACCUCAGAAAAAAACAUAUGAAAUAGAUGAUGAUGAUAUUUUGGGAAAUAUUCGUUCUCGUAAAGGUGUUCUUAAAGACAGUGAUAAAGAGUCUCCUCAUACUAAGCCCAGCCCAAGUGGAAAGUCUUCAGAAUCACCAAAAGUGAAAAAAAAGUCUCCCGCAAAAGCUCAAAAUAAAGAUGAUUGGCUUUUUGGUGAUGCAAGCAGUGUCUCCGAUACUAUGAAGAAAAACAUAGAUGAAACUUCUAUUGAUCAAGCAGAUGAAGGUAUUAAACAAUCAUCUCCCAGCAAAAAUGAAGAUUGGCUGGGGAAAAUGUUGGGUGGCAACACGAAAUCGCCCAGUAUAUCUAAGCAGGCUGCAUCCCAAGGUAGUUCUCCAAGUGUUCAACAUCCAGGUGGAGUACCAGAAGGUGUCUCGGUAUCUGCUUCGCCUGUUGCACACACAGUCACAGCAGGAGUCGUUGCUUCUAGACAUCAAAAUAUUCAGUCAUUGUCAGAUCCUGUAACAAAUUCAGCCAUUUUAACAUCUACUUUGCCAGCUGCAACACCUUUUAUACCUGCUGCAUUACCCACUGUCCCUUCUGUACCCUCUGUGAUGACAGCAGUUUUGCAGACUCCAGAGGACUUAAAGCAGCAGUUUUUGAAACAACAACAGGAAGCUCAAGCUCAGGCUGCUGCUGUUGCUGCUCAGUUAAAACAGCAUCAGAAUCAACUUGAGAUGCAGAUGGCUCAACAGCUUCAGCAGCAACAGCAGAAUAUGGCAGAGGUGAUGAAAAGACAACAGGAGGCAGCUUUAGAAAGGUAUAAGGGUGCAGUGUCGGCAGUUGGCCAGUAUGACAUAAAUGCUUCCGUCCCAGUAAAUAAUUCUGAUCAACAGAAAGAUAAAGUUGAUUUGAAAACAGCCAAAGUUGAGGUUGCUGGAUUAAAAGCAGAAUUGGACUUGAUUCGUAAACAACACACUGAAGAAGUGGCAGUGCUUGAGGAGGGUCACAGGAGAAAAUUGGAUGUUGAAAAGGAAAUCUGGGAUCGAGUUGAAAAAAGAUUGAGGGAGGAACGUGAUAGCUUGUUGUCAGACUUUCAGAAGAAGAUAUCAUUGGUGCAGGAAGAGAAGGAGAAUCUGGCUUCAUCCUAUAAAGUCCAGCUGACAGGCAUAAAAUCUGAAUGGUCUCAAGCAGUGGAACGCACAAAAGAAUUAUAUUCAGGAAUGGUUGAAAGAAUGAAGGAGGAACACCAGGCUACCCUGGAGAGAAUGACUCAGCUUAAAGAAAUGGAACUAAAAGCUGCUUUAUCUGCAACAGGACAUGUUAGAGAAGUUGAAGCAGUGAUGACACAGUUGGAAAGCAACACCUCAAAUCUUUCUGAAUUAACAGCUUCAAUCAAUAUCCGCCAUGAUUCAUCGUUGGAGUUAACACAGAGGGCUCUCAAGAUGAAGGAGAAGCAGUUGCAGGAAUUUGAGGCGCAGUUGGCAACAUCACGUGCUGAAUCAGAGGGUGAGAGAAACAGACUGAAUACUCUCAUACAAAGGCUAGAGAACACCCUCAUGCAGCAAGGCUCAGAGGUUGAGAAAGAACGUUGGAGGCUUGCUCAAGAGCGCAUGAAAAUGGAAAUGGAACGUCAGGCAAUGACUGAAGAACGGAAACAUUUGCGGAUCAGUACAGAAACAGAACGACAGAACUUGGCCAGUGCUCGGGAAAGCUUAAUGUCUGAGCACAGGUCUCUGUUGCAAUCUCUGAAUCGGCAGAAGCAAGAAUUGGCCAGCCAACAGGCAAACCUCGGUAUACAACAGAAUUUAGGUCAUGUUUCUGCUCUAGGGACCCACAUCAGUGCUGGUAAUAUGUUGCUGAAAUGCCAGCAUUGAAUGAGGAGCGUCGUAGAUUACGUGAAAAGAUAGCUGCUGUUAACAUUCAAGAGCAACAACUGCAAGAGGAAGAAACUAAAUUAGAGCAAUUGAAACUACAAGUGGAACAAGAGAAAGCAAAGUUAAAACUAGAACGAGAAGUCUGUGCCCAAGAACAGCUACUGCUAACAAAGACACGUAAAGAAACUGAGGCAGCAAGACAGGAAGUUGAUUUGCUCAGGCAAGAGCAAGAAGCCCGACUUAAUCAGAUCACCACUCAGAC